rnacentral:lncRNA from 13 species
AUGGCUGGCAUCCCCGCCCAUCAGGCUUUCUCGUCUUCCGAUUGGUCAGGCAGUUCUACCUUAUCUUUCAAUCUCACGGUCCUUAUCCGCUUACGUCAUUUAAGCGCACAACUCCGUGUGCCUCCGCGGGCGGAGAUAGUCCGUCUUUUCUCCCCGUGCUGCGGCCCGACCGCCCCGACUGCGCGUCCGCGCCUCAGAGUUCCGGGCAUCGCGGGGAUUCGGGGACCUCACGAGCACGCUCGGGAGGCCGAGCUGCGAGGUUCGAGACCGAGCCGCCCGAAGGUGGCGGAGGGAUCCGCGUGGACUGCCGGGCGGGGCACGUGGGGGCGGGGAGGGGGCGGGGCCAUCGCUGGGCGGGGCGGGGCGGCGCGGGCGGGGGGCGGAACAUGUCUCCCGCCGCAGGAAGAUGAGGCAGCGGCGGCGGCUGCGGGCGUAGCGGGCCGGAGCCGACGCGGCGGCGGGCACCGCGGGCACCGCGCACGCCGCUGCCCCAGGGCUCCGCAGCCGGCCGCACGCACGGGCCCCGCGGGACGGGACACGCGGGGUGGGAGGGGCCCCGGGACACGCGCGCCGCCGCCGCCGCCCACGCGCGACCCUCGGGGGCCCGGCCGCGACGCCCCUUUGUGUGGGGGGGCCCCGCUUCAUGCCGCCGCCCCCUGCGCGCCGCGUGCCCGGCCGCGCCCAGCAGGUGAGCCCGGUGGGGGGCGAGGGCCGCGCCCGGGACCCCCGCGCUUUGUGCCCAGGGGACCCCGGCCCGCCCCGCUCGCGCUGGGGGGCGGGCGCGGAGGAAGUCGGGGCGGGGGCGGCGUCGGGGGGCGCCCCGGGGCCCGGGAGUUAUUGUUCUCCAACUUCGUGCGGCGCCUUGGGGGCGGCGACGUGGAGGGGCCCGGAGCUCGCCAGGCCCGCGUUCCCCCCACCGUCGGGCCGGGCACUUCGGGAAACUUUGCGCAGCCCCGGGCGGGGGCGCGGGGGGCGUCGGACGGGCCGAGCAACUUGGGCGCGAGGACCGCCCCCGCCACCCGGGCGCGCGGGGACCCCGGGACUCCCCCUUCCCCGGGUGUUGUGGGGGCCUGGCCCGGGCGGCGGAGUUUCGGGGGGAGCGCGCAGGGGGGGCGUCCUUUUGUCUGCGCGGGGAAGGUGCCGCGCGCUGCAGGCGCUGGUCGGGGCCGGGCGGGCCGGGGGGGGGGGGCGCGCGGGGAACAUCUGCUCCGCGUUAAUGCGGGCGAGGCGGCGGCCACGCUGCGAGCUUCAAAGGCUCCCGGGCCGCGCCGCCUGCACCGGCUGCGGGGGGAGGGGGGUCCCGCUUCCUGGGCCGCCUCCCCCUGGGAAAAAGGCGUUUCAGGGUCCCUCUUCCGCGCCGUGCAAAGUGACUUCAAACAUCCUCCAAGUCUCCAAAAGUCCUUGGGACGCCCCAGAAGUCUUCCAGCUCCCGUAGAAAUGCACUUUUUAGCAUGCCACCCCCCUCAGCUAAGUGUGUCUUAA